CAGGUUAAUGUCAUUGUUCUUUCCUCCUAUCGUGCAAUUGCAUUAGUGAUGUAAUUGAUAAUAUUGCUUAAUCAAAAUGAAAACAUCACUCCAGCUACAGCUUUCUUUCAUCACUAUUCUGGUGGUGUUUUUGAUCAGUUGUAAUUAUAUUUCUGGCCAAUGUUUGGAAGACCAAACCGCCUUGCUAAUUCUCUCCUCUCCUCUCCUCCAUUUCCAAUACCAAGUGAAAACAAGAACUCAUCUCAAGGUUCGAGAAGGAACUUUUGGGAUUCCUCUUCAACGUUAGAGUUUUAAUUGGAGCUUUUAAGUUUUAGGUACUCAUGAUUGCAGAUACUUCAAUAAGACUUCCAUCCAUCAGCAGUUGGUGAGACCUCCUCACUUUCGGAGGGCUCCAGUUUAGUUUGUUCAGUAUUUUUACUUAUUAGUUUUAUUUGCUUAUAGUCAAGUAGUCAUGGGCCUUGUCUAGACACCUAUCUUCAGUUAUUA